AUUGAACGCUGGCGGCAUGCUUUACACAUGCAAGUCGAACGGUAACAGGCCGCAAGGUGCUGACGAGUGGCGAACGGGUGAGUAAUGCAUCGGAACGUGCCCAGUCGUGGGGGAUAACGCAGCGAAAGCUGCGCUAAUACCGCAUACGAUCUAUGGAUGAAAGCGGGGGACCGUAAGGCCUCGCGCGAUUGGAGCGGCCGAUGUCAGAUUAGGUAGUUGGUGGGGUAAAGGCUCACCAAGCCAACGAUCUGUAGCUGGGCUGAGAGGACGACCAGCCACACUGGGACUGGGAAACGGCCCAGACGCCUGCGGGAGGCAGCAGUGGGGAAUUUUGGACAAUGGGCGCAAGCCUGAUCCAGCAAUGCCGCGUGCAGGAAGAAGGCCUUCGGGUUGUAAACUGCUUUUGUACGGAACGAAAAGGCUCUGGUUAAUACCUGGGGCUCAUGACGGUACCGUAAGAAUAAGCACCGGCUAACUACGUGCCAGCCGCCGCAGUAAAAC
rnacentral:rRNA from 1 species